rnacentral:lncRNA from 1 species
GGGCCAUUACCAUUGUGACGUCGGCGCCCAUGGGUACUCUCCCUUUUCGAAACGUUUUGAAAGACAAUGCAACCGUCCCAAUGGAAUAUUAUUGAAGCCCUGGUUGAAAAAGCCCCUAAAGAUUUAUGUUAUACAACGUUUGACAUGUUUGAACGAACUUAAAUAUAUAUUUUCUUGCUCAUUCCUGACGACAAGUCAGACGCACACGGUACAUUUUCACUAGCCUUCGGAGCGCGCUAACACUAUUGGGACAUAAGAUUAUUAACUUUUUUGAACAAAACUACAUUUGUUAUGGACCUGGGAUUCCUAGAAGUGCCUUCUGAUAAAGAUAAUCAAAGGACCUGAGCCCUAGGACCAUGCCUCAGGACUACCUGGCAUGAUGACUCCUUGCUGUCCCCAGUCCACCUGGCCAUGCUGCUGCUCCAGUUUCAACUGUUCUGCCUGCGGCUAUGGAACCCUGACCUGUUCACCGGACGUGCUUUUUGCACCCUCGACAACUACUAUGAUUAUUAUUAUUUAUGAACAUUUUAACAUCUUGACCAUGUUCUGUUAUAAUUUCCACCCGGCACAGUCAGAAGAGGACUGGCCACCCCUCAUAGCCUGGUUCCUCUCUAGGUUUCUUCCUAGGUUUUUGGCCUUUCUAGGGAGUUUUUCCUAGGGAGUUUUUCCUAGCCACCGUGCUUCUUUCACAUGCAUUGCUUGCUGUUUGGGGUUUUAGGCUGGGUUUCUGUACAGCACUUUGAGAUAUCAGCUGAUGUACGAAGGGCUAUAUAAAUAAAUUUGAUUUGAUUUGUAGUAUUCUCUCUAGUUUGCAAUCUGGUUUUCGCUCAGGUUAUGGAUGUGUCACUGCAACCUUAAAGAGCCUCAAUGAUGUCACCAUUGCCCUUGUUUCUAAGCAAUGUUGUGCUGCUAUUUUUAUUGACUUGGCCAAAGCUUUUGAUACGAUAGACCAUUCCGUUCUUGUGGGCCGGCUAAGGAGUAUUGGUGUCUUUGAGGGGUCUUUGGCCUGGUUUGCUAACUACCUCUCUCAAAGAGUGCAGUGUAUAAAGUCAGAACAUCUGCUGUCUCAGCCACUGCCUGUCACCAAGGGAGUACCCCAAGGCUCGAUCCUAGGCCCACGCUCUUCUCAAUUUACAUCAACAACAAAGCUCAGGGAGUAGGAAGCUCUCUCUCCAUUUAUAUGCAGAUGGUAGUCUUAUACUCAGCUGGCCCCUCCCCGGAUUUUGUGUUAAACACUCUACAUUAACCUCUCUAGGGGGUGUGGGAUGCUACCGUCCCACCUGGCGAAAGCAUACCAUGCGAUUAUCUGAGAACAGCGCCCAGCAG